GGUAGCCUCCAUCUCAUGCUGCAGCCACCACCAUCAAGCUCGACCGCCACCAUCUCAACUGACCUUCGAUACCUCCCCCUUUACCAGAACGCUACAGUUAGAAGAAUAAACCAGUGGUUGUCGCAUCACCAUCUCUUUUGUGGUGGGCGGUUGCUGCAAAAUCGAGCAGCCAUCGAGUCACUACUGUCGUUGCUAUCACUCCCGGUGAGAAGAGAGGUCGGGUAAGGGAAUCAGAGCUGGGUGUUGCAGGAUGCCGUUACUGCUUUCGUUUCACAGAAAAGAAGUACCUCCUGCAACUCUUUCCCUUUUUCCUUCAUGUGCAAAAUGACGACGACCACCCAGCUGCCACUUGUUGUCGCCGUUGUGCGUUCCAUAGCUCAUUCCGUCACCCUCCUUCGUCGUUUUCCUCCUCUAAGACCGAAGUUGGUGUGUGUCCGUAUCUUAGCCCCUGUCGCCGUAUGUGUGCGUGUUCAGGCUUUAGCAUGAUUGUGUGUUUGUGUUUCGGCUAGCUGGGAGCUGAUGAGAACCACCAUGGCAGCCAACCAUGGUGGCUGCUGCCAUUUUCGUUUCUGUCAUCCCCGACCACCGCUAGCCGCCGAUGGGGGGUGGCUGUUUAUGUUUAGUUCUCAUAGUUCGGGAAUCUGUCAACCAGCAGCUGGGAUUGUGUCUACGGGACUUCAGCAGUGUGAGGUACUUCGUUUUCAAAGGAAAGGAGCCGGCUUGACCGCAGCGCAUCACACUAUGGUUUUCCGCACAUGAGAUCUUUGGGAUUACACUCUUAUAUUGUUUUAUGAUAACAUGUUUUAAUUAUUUCUACUUUGGUUUUGACAUGACAUGAUAUUAUGGAUGUUUUAUUAUAAUGUUGGUUUUAUAAUAACGUAUUUAAAAAUGAAA